UCCCUGGUGGUCUAGCGGCUAAGGAUCCCAUGCUCUCACUGCCGCAGCCGCGGUUCGAUUCCUGGGCAGGGAA